UACGGAGGGUGCAAGCGUUAUCCGGAUUUACUGGGUUUAAAGGGUGUGUAGGCGGACUUUUAAGUCAGCGGUGAAAUCUCCGGGCUCAACCCGGAAACUGCCAUUGAUACUAUUGGUCUUGAAUGUUGUUGAGGUGGGCGGAACGGGUCAUGUAGCGGUGAAAUGCAUAGAUAUGACCCAGAACACCGAUUGCGAAGGCAGCCCACUAAGCAACGAUUGACGCUGAGGCACGAAAGCGUGGGGAUCAAACAGG
rnacentral:rRNA from 1 species